CAUCCCCACCUACGACUUUUGAUUCUCACAAGCCUCAUAAAUAAAUGCUAGCUGUCAUCUGACAUUCAGAGCAAAAGAAAGGAAACCGAGAGGAAGAGGAAAGAGUGGGGUUCGGCGAAGGAGAAAGAAAGGGCUGGAAAAUAAGAGGAGAAGAAAAGGGUUGGCCGGGAGUUCUCCACGUACCGUUAACCAUCAUCUUCAUGCUCUUCAUAUCUCCAUUUUCAUGCUUGUCUAAGGGAACAUCCCCCAACUCUUUUCUUUCAAUCACCUCAUGAAGCAAGUCAAAAUCAGCUUACUUUACUGCAAUGCUGACUCGAUGAGAUGUGACAGCUUUGCUUUCCAUUGUUCGGAAAUAUAAAUUUGACCUGAACGUUAAUUGUGCGAUGCCCACCACCAACAACCACUGUGCAAGUGAGCAACAAAUGCACCCGCAUCCAUUGAUUCCUCGUGAUAUGCUCAGCGACCACUGUUACUGAUGCCAGCCAUGUAAAUGUUUAGUUUUUGGUGAGUGGAGAGCCCAAGAAGGGCCAUGCAAGAAGAAAAGGCUCCACACGACGAUGAGAUGACGGAAAUGCAGCUUCUUAAUGAUCAAAAGCAGUGUGCAGAGCAUGUACAGACGUACAGUAUGCUGGUUGAUUUUGGAAGAAGUGACGUCGGAAAGGUUUCUCAUAACUGUCAAGAAGCCCCCAUUGCCAUUGCAAUAGAAGACAACUACCGUGGAGAUGCUGCAGCAAUUAGACUUCCAAGCAUGAGAGAGUGGCAUCAUUCAUUCCUCUGGAGUUUUUUGAUGAAUCAAAAACCUUCACUCCUAAUCAGUUAAGCAUAGGGUUAAGUGCAAGAAAACCCCUCUUCUAUCGAUGUAGUGCAAAAUAGUCCUUGUCUAGUUUAAAAUACCCCUAUACUAUUGAAUUGGUGCAAAUAGGCCCUUGAAGACUUAAAAUGACAAUAGUACCCUCAUUUUGGCAGAAUAAAUAAAUAAAUAUAAAUACAGACCAUGCAAAAUGACUAUUUUAUCCAAUGUGGGUAGGAAAAUGACUUUUACCCAUUUGCUAUAUUGUUUAAAUCCCACCCGCUUAAGUUUGCUGCAUCCACCAAAGCUUCCCUCCAUCUUUGCACCUUUUCUUUUUCAUCCCCAAAAUUUUCUUCAUGUUUGGCAAAUGCUUCUGCAAAACUCUCUGUUUGUUUCCUUACUUUGGAUGGAUCCACAGUGUAGAAGAUAGGAAAAACUAUCUGUCCUAUCUUGUUCUUGCAUUCAAUGAUCUCUACAAGUUCAUCCAAGCACCACGAGGAAGAAGCAUAGUUUUUAGAGAAAACAAUAACAACAAAUCUUGAUUCCUUAAUUGCCGUCGGGAGUGCUGUUGAAAUCGAUUUUCCUCUCUCAAGUUUUUGUCAUCUUUAAAGGUCUCGAUUCCUUUUUUUUGUAGGGCUGCAUGGAGAUGGUCGACAAAGUUCUUGUGCAUGUCUUCACCUCUAAAACUUAAGAACACAUCAUAUUUCCAUUGAGCUAUGGAGGAAGAAGAAGAAGAAGCCAUUGAAGCUUACAAAAUUACUUAAGAGCCAGAGAUCUGGAGAUUAAUAAUGAUAUUUCAGAAAGCUAUUCUAUAUCCUAGCAGAUGGCUGAGCUUGAUGUCCAGGUAACUUCCUACUUUGCUUUGGAGAAUGAGUUUACAUAUAGGGAAGAUGGUGGUGACUUGCCAAGAAACUUGUAGCUAAAAGAAAGUAAGAAGCAGAGAGGAAGCUCCAAAGGUGUAAAACAAAUAAACGACGACCACCACCUAGUCAGAAGGUAUAUAAUCUCUUAUUCCUUUGUUUGUCCUUUUUUGUUUUGAUGGGGUUUGGGGGGAUGGAUUUAAUUUAUUGAAUAUGAGACAAGUAACUUACAUUUAAGGUGUAGCAUGUACCCACUUGUGAUAUCACCCUGCUGAAUGUGGGUCUUAAUUAAUAGGAGUGAAUGAUUCUUAGUUUCAUUGUGUUUUGGGGCCAACCAUAAUAGCCACGGGCCAAGUGAAGCAAGCAUGAGCCUUGCUAAAUAUGUAGGUCUGUUGGAUUUGGUGGAAGCAUAUUGUCCUUCCCGACACUCGCAUUUGAAGAAGAAUUUCUUCUUCGUAGUGAAGAAAGGACAUAAGGGCUUGCCGCCCCUUUACUCUUAAACAAUCAUCAAUGAAUCCGUUGAACACACUGAGGGCCCCCUUUUACAAUUAAGUAUUUGGUACAAACUCACAUUUAAUUCUGAGGGGUUUUGAUUGUCCAUGGUCAAAAGAAACAUGACCAACCUUGUACCACUUUUCAUGCUUUGAUAUUGAUGUUGUUAUGAAAACAAACUGAGGUUUUUAUAAAAUGGGGAGAGACUAAAAAAUAUCUGACUUUGGAUGUCAGUUUCGAAAUCUAGUUGAGAAAGUGAAGGUGCUUUCAUAAGUAUAUGUGUUCUAAGAAUUAUUGUAAGAAAAUGUGUUAUUGAAUGUACAUGAAAUUCAUUAUUUUUCUUUCUGUUUA